UAGCGUAAUUCAGUGCUGCGAGAGGUGGGACGGCUAUACUUCAGUGCGGUUUCAACAGAGGAAUACACAAGGAGGAACUACGCAAGCAAUGUCUCUGAGUAUAACACUGUUAUCGGUUCUCUCACCGCGCAGAGAAGGCAUCUCUUGCUGAGAGAUGUGUAUGAUGAUAUGAUGCUGGAUGGAGUACCCCAGAUGAUGUUCUAUCUGCUUUAAGACGACAUUCUUCAAUUUCUCAACAUCAAAAAUCUCUGGAUUCUAAUUUUCCAAGGAAGAACAGAGGAUCAAGAUGGAAUAAGGAAUAUUUUAGUCAUUCUAAUGCUUUGGACCAUAAAGAUAGUGGUGCGAAAGGUGUUCAAGACUUGUGGAACAAAAAAUCAAGGUCUACAGGUCCACCAGAACAGAAGGUUAAUGCUAGUGAUGAUCGGUCAUCAUCAACAAUUGAAGCAAAAAUUCUUGAUGUAGUGCAGAUGAACUCUGUCACUGUUGACUCGAGGCCAAAGUGCUUGGUGAUUGAUGAAAUAGAUGGAGCUCUUGGUGAUGGCAAAGGUGCUGUGGAGGUUAUUCUAAAGAUGGUUUCUGCAGAUAAGAAGUCUGAUACAGGGAAGGAGAAUUUUCCAAAUGAAGAAAAUCAUGAAAGUACAUAGAAAGUUUAUCAUUCAUAUGGAGUUUCCUUUUCAUGAUUCCCUGAAAAAUGGUAC